ensembl:lncRNA
UGACAUUCCUGCUCCAGAGCAGCCUGGGACUCACCCAGCCCACCCCUGAGGAGCUGGCCAAGCUGCCUGGGCCACCACGAGCCACUUUGGGGGAUGUUCACAAGGCCAUGCAUAAAAUGAGUAUGAAAAUUGUGGAUUUUUCAAAUGAAAUGCAUGGAGAGAUUGUCUCGGUGUGGACAUGGUGCCCUGAACACUGUUUUGCACAGUUCCUGCUCACUCUCCAUGGAAGAUUUUGGCUGCUGUUCUUAAGAGUUCUCAUCACUGGUGAGCACUUACAGAACAUCUGCAAACAGCAGGAGGGGCUGGCACAGCGUGUUGCCCUGGUAGAUGACAUCUGUAACGCUGGCAGAAGAGG